GUGGGGAAUCUUGCGCAAUGGGCGAAAGCCUGACGCAGCCAUGCCGCGUGAAUGAUGAAGGUCUUAGGAUUGUAAAAUUCUUUCACCGGGGACGAUAAUGACGGUACCCGGAGAAGAAGCUCCGGCUAACUUCGUGCCAGCAGCCGCGGUAAUACGAAGGGGGCUAGCGUUGCUCGGAAUUACUGGGCGUAAAGGGCGCGUAGGCGGACAGCUUAGUCAGAGGUGAAAGCCCAGGGCUCAACCUGGGAAUUGCCUUUGAUACUGGCUGUCUUGAGUUUGGGAGAGGUGAGUGGAACUCCGAGUGUAGAGGUGAAAUUCGUAGAUAUUCGGAAGAACACCAGUGGCGAAGGCGACUCACUGGCCCAAUACUGACGCUGAGGCGCGAAAGCGUGGGGAGCAAACAGGAUUAGAAACCCGUGUAGUCC
rnacentral:rRNA from 1 species